rnacentral:rRNA from 1 species
AUACGAAAGGUGCAAGCGUUGUUCGGAUUUACUGGGCGUAAAGAGAGUGUAGGUUGUUUAUUAAGUCGGAUGUGAAAUCCCGGGGCUCAACCUCGGAACUGCAUUCGAUACUGGUAGACUAGAGUCCGGGAGGGGUAAGCGGAAUUCCGUGUGUAGCAGUGAAAUGCGUAGAUAUACGGAGGAACACCUGAGGCGAGGGCGGCUUACUGGACCGAUACUGACACUGAGACUCGAAAGCGUGGGUAGCAAACAGGAUUAGAAACCCUAGUAGUCC